AUGCCACCAGGCCUGGCUAAUUUUUUAUAUUUUUGGUAGAGAUGGUGGGGGUUUCACCCUGUUGCUCAGGCUAGUCUCAAACUCCUGAAUGCAAGCGAUCCACCCACCUCAGCCUCCCAAACUGCUGGGAUUACAGGCAUGAGCCACCAUGCCAAGGCUAAGAUAUUAUUUUUUUUAAUUUAUUUAUGUAUUUUAGAGCUGAGGUCUUGCUCUCUUGCCCAGGCUGGAGUGCAGUGGCAUGAUCAUGGCUCAAUGCAGCUUCGAAUUCCUGGCUCAAGCAAUCCUCCCACCUCAGCCUCCCAAGUAGCUGGGACUACAAGUGCACACCACCACACCUGGCUAAUUUUUUAUUUGUAUUUUGUGUAGAGACCGGGUUUUGCCAUGUUGCACAAGCUGGUCUCAAACUCCUGGGCUCAAGCCAUCCUUUCACCUCAGCCUCCCAAAGUGCUGGGAUUAGAGAUACCAGUUGCUAU
rnacentral:lncRNA from 1 species